CAAACACAAAUUGUUAAAUCUUAUCAUAUAGGUCUGGUAUAUUGAUGCUGUCCCUGAGUGACGUAACGCCUUCCGUUUUGGACUGUAUUAUUAAUAUAGGAAGUCUAUAGAUCUGGUUUCCCUACACUAUGCAAGAAUAGGCAACAUUUUUAAUUCAUUUUGCAGCAAUUCACAAACUUCUGAGAAGUCUUUUGCUUUUUCCCUGCCAGUCGUCAUGAUUUGGCGUGACGAAGAACAACUGCCAGCGUCAUUAACGU